UGGCCCGGCCGGGAGGGCGCGGGCUUGGCCGCGCCUCAGGGGCGAGCGCCGGGUUGUGGCCAGCAGAACCGGGCGCAGUUCGCGUCUGGAGAAGGUUGCCCUGCCGCGGGUAAUACACUAGUGGGAGAAAUGCGAUGGAACAGAUGUUCAGGGUGCAGGGCCCGCGUGUCUGCAGUUCUCGUGCUGCCCCAGAGACCCGUAACAGCGUGAAUUCCUCCGAAGCAGGGUGGGAAAGGCCCUGCCCCGCCGGCAGAAGGCCUUGCAGAAACAGCUCAAAGAGAGGUAAAGCAGACCUUAACAGGCUGGUGUCCGUGCUGCGGGCUCGGGCGUUUGAAGCGCACGGGCUCCCGUCGCCUUCGUGCAGCUGCUGGGCCCGCUCCUCGGCAGCGCUCGGAUUCCGGCAUCGUUUGUGGGAAGCGCAGCACUGGGGCAGAAACAACACCUGCAGACAGCAAAACUGGCCCUUCUAGGGGAAAGCCUUCACCUGGAGCUCUCUCUGCCUGGCUUCAGUCUUUCACCAAACCUGAAGUACUCCAGUUCCCUCCAUCUUCAUUGGAAAUAGACUCGAUAAAACCCCUCCUCACGAGAUCCCAUCAGGAAUAUCUGCCAUGAAGUUGCUUGUUUCACUUGGCCAGCAGCAGUUAAUUGUCUUCUCUGAAGACAUUCAAAAACAUUAAGGAGGUAAUUGUGGCUACAAUUAAAUCGGUGACAAAUCUGACUUGGGUAGGGUCAAGAUUUCAUCCUAGUAAGAAGUCAGUGACAUGUGGAACUUCAUGCAGUAUAACAGGUCCUUAUCAGCCCUCCGCCAGCCCUGCCAAAAAUAUUUUUAGAGCUAAUCACAGAGCAUGGUGUUCUGCUUUCCUGGUAAGCUUAUUUUUGAAGGUGCAAUUAUCAAGAAAAAACAGCAAUGUCCAAGCUAAAGCUUUUCAUCAUUACUAACUGUGAAGACAUCCCUUUUUCACUUAAUUCUGAGCUGUGCAGGCAAAUAUUGCAUCCCACCCACUGCCCUGAAAAUUCUGGCUGUUUGAAAAGGAAAGAAGCCAUGACACAGCAUCAGAGAGAAGAAACCUUUCUAGCCAACAGUCUCCCCCGUGUGUUGACAUCAUUGUAAGAGUCUCUAGUGCAAUGUAAUCGGCAAAAAUGUUACCAAAAGCAUGUAAAGUUUUUAAUGGAAUACUGAAACCUGAUAAUUUUUAAGGAAUACAAGGUUCUUUGUGAGAUGUGGAACUGUUUUUGCUACAUGUAUCCAAAGGCAAGGCAACAGGCAGCAAUAGCGUAUUUGGUUCGAAUUAAAGAUUUUUCUUCUUCAUUAAUUGUGGAGUCCUAUAUGCCAGGAAAAUAAGAUCAUUUGAAUUAAAAAAUGGGAGUCAAAUCCCUGAAUUUGCACUGAG